AUGGCAUCUCGGGACAAGGGAUGCCUUGGGGACACCCUGUUGAGACGUGCCUCCGUGCCCCCAGAUGUGGGCGUGUGCCCUGGGGCACCGGGAGGCAGCGGAGCGGCUGUGCCGCUGGGACCGGCGGGCGCUGGCCGUCCCCGACACCCUGGGGCGGCUGCCGCUGGCCCUGGCACGUGCCCGGGGCCACCUGGCCCUGGUCACCCGCCUCGAGGAGCUGCAGGUGUCACCCGUGUCCCCGCGCUGUCACCUGUCUGGCCUGCGCAUCCCUUCCCCACUCUCUGCCAGCCCCGACACAGGUAUGGCCCUGGCACCUUGUACCCUCCCUGUCCUCUGGCGCGGUGUCCUGUUGUCCCUGUCCGGUCCCAGGCUCCCGGUUAUCACCAGCCUGGUGUGGCCACCUUCAGUGUCCCCUCACUGCUUCUGACUGCUGUGACUGUCACCAUAUUCCCUCCUUGUCCCCUUUUGUGUGCCCCCAGGGCAUCACUCAUCCCCUCCAGCCUUUCCCUGCUGUGUCCCCCUCAUGUCCCUUGUCCUCCCCCAGCAUCUUUGUGUAGCCAGGUGUGCCAAGUUCCCUCUCCAUGUUCUUUGUCCCCAGCUCUUGUUUUCCCUUUGCAUUCCCAUGUCACCCUUGUUCUCUGUUCUCCCCAGCUUCUUCAUGUCCCUGAUGUGUCCCCAUCGUAUCCCCUGUCCUCUUGCCAUGUCCCACAUGUCCCACUUCCCCUAGGGGUGUGUCUUUCCAGGACUAAACCCCCUGCCAUGUCCCCCCUGUCCCCAGGGCUGAGCACAGCUAGCAGCCUGUCGUCCCCAUCGGGGCUCUCGGAGGGUCCUGGUUCCGUCCCACUGCCCCCUGGCCCCCCUGGUCCCUCUGAGGAUGAGAGCUGGGGGGUGGCAGUGCCCCCCAGCCCCCCUGAGGAUACCCUGGCCCUACCCUCUGACGCCCUGCAGGUAAAGGUGGGGGACAGCCAGGGCUGGGGACACCAUUGGUGCAGGAGAGUCACAAUGUCCCGUGUCCCCAGGCCGAGGUGGUGA
rnacentral:lncRNA from 1 species